ensembl:lncRNA
CGGCCAGGUAGGCCAGGCGCGGGCCUCCCCGCACGCCGGGCGGCAGCCGCCCCGUGCCGUAGCCGUGCCAGGCCACCACGUACGGGUUGUCCAUGGUCAGCCAGUAGCGCACCUGCCCGCCGAAGUGCCGGAAGCACAGCUCGGCGUAGUCGCGGAAGAGCCCGGGCAGGACGGGGCUGGCCCAGCCGCCGAAGGCGUGCUGCAGGGCCUGCGGCAGGUCCCAGUGGUAGAGGGUGACCACGGGCUCGACGCCCAGCUCCCGCAGGCGGGCCAGCAGCCGCCCGUAGUGCGCCAGCCCGGCGGGGUUGGGCGGCGCCGUCCCGUUGGGCAGCAGCCGGGCCCAGGACAGCGAGAAGCGGUAAUGCGAGACCCCCAGGCGCCGCAGCCCCUCGACGUCGCGGAACAGGUUGUUGUAGCUGUCGCUGGCCACGUCGCCGCCCACGGGCCCCGGCGGGGCGGCCCCCGACGGCGUGGCCGGGCGGUGGGCGAAGGUGUCCCAGAUGGACGCGCCCUUGCCGCCCUGGCGCCAGCCGCCCUCCGUCUGGUAGGCGGCGCUGCCCGCGCCCCAGAGGAAGCCGUCGGGGAAGGUGUCGUGGAGGAAGAGCUGGUCCUGCGGGUAGGGCAGCCGGGCGAAGCGGGACCAGGUGCCCGCGCCCUGCCCCGGCGCUCCCAGCCCCGGCCGCCCCAAGAGCAGCAGCAGCAGCGGUGGCAGCAGCGACGCGGCGAGGGCCAUGUUCCCGGCGGGGCUCCGCGACAGCAGCUCCCGCCUCCCAGCUCCCCGCCGCCCCAUUUUAUCUCACCUUGCGCCCCCCCCUUCCCGCCCCGGUGGGCACGGCCAUUAAUAAUUACCUCGGAGCUGCCGUCUGCAUCCUUCCCAGCCGGUUCCAUCGGGGAGAGCUGCCGCCGGGGGCGGGAGCCAGGGCGUGAGACGGGGCGGGCGGGGAGGAAAGGGAGGAAGCCGGGGCGUGGGCGCCUCGGGGAGAGGUGGACCCUGUCACCCCCUCAGGGUGUCCGUAGGUACCCCCACGGCCCCUCAAAGGGAGAGAUCCCGGUCCGCGGGCGGCAGGCGGGGUGCCGCAGCCCUUCGCCCGCCCCGCCGGGCCCCCGCACCUCGCCGCGACCGCGGUGUCCCCUCGGAAGUGGGACCCUCGCCGCUCUCCUGCCGCCUUUCUUCCCAUCGGAAGAGCCCGCGGAGAGACUCGAUGCCGGAUCCGUCCCCUCUGAGGGGAUGAGCGUGGCCCCCUCGCGUGCCCCGCUGCAGUGCCGCCGUCGGGAAGUCCGUGGGGCAGCGGCGGACCGGGGAGGGGGAAGCGAUCAGGGGGCUGGGCUGGGGGAAAAGCGAGGAACUAAAAACGCUUUUCUCUUUCCUCAGUGUUUCCGUAGUGGUACUUUAGCAAGACACAUCGCACCUGCGAUCUCUCAUGUAGCAGCAAUUGCAGAGAAUUCGUUGUCCAAGGACAUCAGACACACUCCUCCCCGGGAAUUCAUGGGCUGUCACCUCUCAGUAACAACUCUUUUCUUUCCUGGAGUAGGAGAGCCUUUCAACAGUCAAGGAAAAGAAAUGUCCUUAUGGUGUUAA